ACGUACGCUGGCGGCACGCCUAACACAUGCAAGUCGAACGAAGUAGCAAUACUUAGUGGCAGACGGGUGAGUAACAUGUAGGUAUCUGCCCUUUGGCCUGGAAUAACACGAGGAAACUUGUGCUAAUACCGGAUAAGUCUUUACGGAGAAAGCUUUAUGCACCAUUGGAUGAGCCUGCACUUGAUUAGUUUGUUGGUGGGGUAAUGGCCUACCAAGACUGUGAUCAAUAGCUGAUUUGAGAGGAUGAUCAGCCACAUUGGGACUGAGACACGGCCCAAACUCCUACGGGAGGCAGCAGUGGGGAAUCUUGCACAAUGGAGGAAACUCUGAUGCAGCGAUGCCGCGUGAGUGAAGAAGGCCUUUGGGUUGUAAAGCUCUUUCGUCGGGGAAGAAAAUGACUGUACCCGAAUAAGAAGGUCCGGCUAACUUCGUGCCAGCAGCCGCGGUAAUACGAAGGGACCUAGCGUAGUUCGGAAUUACUGGGCUUAAAGAGUUCGUAGGUGGUUGAAAAAGUUAGUGGUGAAAUCCCAGAGCUUAACUCUGGAACUGCCAUUAAAACUUUUCAGCUAGAGUAUGAUAGAGGAAAGCAGAAUUUCUAGUGUAGAGGUGAAAUUCGUAGAUAUUAGAAAGAAUACCAAUUGCGAAGGCAGCUUUCUGGAUCAUUACUGACACUGAGGAACGAAAGCAUGGGUAGCGAAGAGGAUUAGAUACCCUCGUAGUCCAUGCCGUAAACGAUGUGUGUUAGACGUUGGAAAUUUAUUUUCAGUGUCGCAGGGAAACCGAUAAACACACCGCCUGGGGAGUACGACCGCAAGGUUAAAACUCAAAUGAAUUGACGGGGACCCGCACAAGUAGUGGAGCAUGUGGUUUAAUUCGAAGAUACGCGCAGAACCUUACCAACACUUGACAUGUUCGUCGCAACUCUAAGAGAUUAGAGUUUUCGGUUCGGCCGGACGAAACACAGGUGCUGCAUGGCUGUCGCCAGCUCGUGUCGUGAGAUGUUGGGUUAAGUCCCGCAACGAGCGCAACCCUCACUUUUAGUUGCCAUCAUUAAGUUGGGCACUCUAAAAGAACUGCCAGUGAUAAGCUGGAGGAAGGUGGGGAUGACGUCAAGUCCUCAUGGCCCUUACGUGUUGGGCUACACACGUGCUACAAUGGUAUCUACAACAGGAAGCAAGACGGCGACGUCAAGCAAAUCCCUAAAAGAUACCUCAGUUCGGAUUGCACUCUGCAACUCGAGUGCAUGAAGCUGGAAUUACUAGUAAUCGUGGAUCAGCGUGCCACGGUGAAUGCGUUCCCGGGUCUUGUACACACCGCCCGUC
rnacentral:rRNA from 1 species